rnacentral:sRNA from 1 species
GCCAGCCGUGGUGGUGCACGCCUGUAAUCCCAGCAACUUGGGAGGCUGAGGCAGGAGGAUCACAAGUUCAAUUCCAGCCUCAGCAAAAAGGGAGGUGCUAAGAACUCAGCGAGACCCUGUCUCAA